GCGACCCCGGGUCAGGCGGGACUACCC
rnacentral:rRNA from 1 species